GAUGAAGAACGCAGCGAAAUGCGAUAAGUAAUGUGAAUUGCAGAAUUCAGUGAAUCAUCGAAUCUUUGAACGCACAUUGCGCCCGCCAGCAUUCUGGCGGGCAUGCCUGUUCGAGCGUCAUUUCAACCCUCGCAGCCCAUCUGGGCAGCGGCGUUGGGGACCGGCACCACCGGCGAAGCCCUUAGGGGCCCAGCCGGCGCCGCCCCCGAAAUACAGUGGCGGUCUCGCUGCAGCCUCCCUUGCGUAGUAGCACACCUCGCACCGGAGCGCAGCGCGGCCACGCCGUAAAACCCCCGACUUUCUGAGUUUGACCUCGAAUCAGGUAGGAAUACCCGCUGAACUUAAGCAUAUCAAUAAGCGGAGGA
rnacentral:misc_RNA from 1 species